rnacentral:lncRNA from 1 species
AAUAUGGCAAGUGAUAAGGCCGAGCUUCUUAUUCCUUCUUCCUGGAGAGAUCUCAAAAAUCAUGUCCCCCCUUUACAAGAACUCCUACUCUAUUUAUAGAGAGAGCAAAAAAUGAAUUAAUUUACAAUUCGGCCACCUCGGCUUGGAGCUGAGCCGAUUGUGUCACGUCAGAUCUGUUAGACAAUGGGUAGUCAGGGUUUGUCCACGUCCCCUGCUCAUGAUGACCCUCUUACAUUUUCCACUUAGGAGGCGAGCGUGGGCAGAGUAGCUUGUUGCAUACGGCGCAAUCCCAUAUGGUGACGAUUCAUGCGGUUUACACCUGGCUUUCGAGGGGACGUGGGCACGCUUCACGAGAUACAACGGGUUUGCGGUCAGAGGGGUCUUGUAAUCGACGUGACUGGCUUACAUCCCUUCGAUCUUCCAGCGAUAGCUCGGAGGCCGAGGCCUAUAUGUCGUGUUCUUAUUGGGCAGAUGGACUCG